rnacentral:misc_RNA from 1 species
GUUAAAAACUCCAUUAAUACUCAAAGCCCAGAAACCCUUCAUAAAUUUGCCAAAUUUCUUUUCUUUUUUUGGUCGUAGGAGAAAUUGGCUGUCUUUCUCUACACCCAAUUCCUCUCUCAACCGUUAUGCUUUCUUUUCUUCCUCUCCAUUGUCCACCUCCGAAAACCCUCUCUCCGCCGCUGUCAUCAUCAUCUAAACCUCUGCUUCUUACGUCCACGCCUGCAUAUCUCUCUCUCCGCAUCAGAUCCCUCUCCACCACUGCCACCAGGCCGGCCAUCACCUCCACACCAGGGGCAGACCCAGGAUACUACACCCAAAUGCCACCUUCCAAUUCUAACCUCCUCAAAAUCGCCAUGGUUGGGUUCGGCAACUACGGCCAAUUCCUC